rnacentral:rRNA from 1 species
UACGUAGGGGGCAGGCGUUACUCGGAAUUACUGGGCGUAAAGCGUGCGCAGGCGGUUUCUUAAGUCAGAUGUGAAAGCCCCGGGCUUAACCUGGGAACUGCGUUUGAAACUGGGAGACUUGAGUGUGGCAGAGGGGGGUGGAAUUCCACGUGUAGCAGUGAAAUGCGUAGAUAUGUGGAGAAACACCGAUGGCGAAGGCAGCCCCCUGGGUUAACACUGACGCUCAUGCACGAAAGCGUGGGGAGCAAACAGG